UACGUAGGGUGCGAGCGUUGUCCGGAAUUAUUGGGCGUAAAGAGCUCGUAGGCGGUGUGUCACGUCGGCCUGAAAACCUGGGGCUUAACUCUGGGCGUGCGGUCGAUACGGGGCAUCACUUGAGAUCGGCAGGGGGAGACUGGAAUUCCUGGUGUAGCGGUGAAAUGCGCAGAUAUCAGGAGGAACACCGGUGGCGAAGGC
rnacentral:rRNA from 1 species